UGCCCUAGUAACGGCGAGUGAAGCGGCAAUAGCUCAAAUUUGAAAGCUGGCCUUCUGGUCCGCAUUGUAAUUUGUAGAGGAUGCUUUUAGGCAGCCGCCGGUCUAAGUUCCUUGGAACAGGACGUCAUAGAGGGUGAGAAUCCCGUAUGUGACCGGCUCUGGCACCUUAUGUAAAGCUCCUUCGACGAGUCGAGUUGUUUGGGAAUGCAGCUCUAAAUGGGAGGUAAAUUUCUUCUAAAGCUAAAUACUGGCGAGAGACCGAUAGCGCACAAGUAGAGUGAUCGAAAGAUGAAAAGCACUUUGGAAAGAGAGUUAAAAAGCACGUGAAAUUGUUGAAAGGGAAGCGCUUGCAAUCAGACUUGGACUUGGCUGUUCAACCGGUCUUCUGACCGGCCCACUCAGUCUUGUCCAGGCCAGCAUCAGUUUCGGCGGCCGGAUAAAGGCCCUGGGAAUGUAGCUGUCUCUUCGGGGACAGUGUUAUAGCCCAGGGUGUAAUACGGCCAGCCGGGACUGAGGUCCGCGCUCCGGCUAGGAUGCUGGCGUAAUGGUUGUAAGCGGCCCGUCUUGAAACACGGACCAAGGAGUCUAACAUCUAUGCGAGUGUUAGGGUGUCAAACCCUUACGCGUAAUGAAAGUGAACGGAGGUGGGAACCCGCAAGGGUGCACCAUCGACCGAUCCUGAUGUCUUCGGAUGGAUUUGAGUAAGAGCAUAGCUGUUGGGACCCGAAAGAUGGUGAACUAUGCCUGAAUAGGGUGAAGCCAGAGGAAACUCUGGUGGAGGCUCGCAGCGGUUCUGACGUGCAAAUCGAUCGUCAAAUUUGGGUAUAGGGGCGAAAGACUAAUCGAACCAUUAAGUUAUCAGACUACUAGGUGGUUAAGA
rnacentral:rRNA from 1 species